GAUGAACGCUGGCGGCGUGCAUAACACAUGCAAGUCGAGCGAUUUACUUCGGUAAAGAGCGGCGGACGGGUGAGUAACGCGUGGGUAACCUGCCCUGUACACACGGAUAACAUACCGAAAGGUAUGCUAAUACGAGAUAAUAUGCUUUUAUCGCAUGGUAGAAGUAUCAAAGCUCUGGCGGUACAGGAUGGACCCGCGUCUGAUUAGCUAGUUGGUAAGGUAACGGCUUACCAAGGCGACGAUCAGUAGCCGACCUGAGAGGGUGAUCGGCCACAUUGGAACUGAGACACGGUCCAAACUCCUACGGGAGGCAGCAGUGGGGAAUAUUGUACAAUGGGCGAAAGCCUGAUGCAGCAACGCCGCGUGAGCGAUGAAGGCCUUCGGGUCGUAAAGCACUGUCCUCAAGGAAGAUAAUGACGGUACUUGAGGAGGAAGCCCCGGCUAACUACGUGCCAGCAGCCGCCGUAA
rnacentral:rRNA from 1 species